UACGGAGGGUGCGAGCGUUGUCCGGAAUCACUGGGCGUAAAGGGCGCGUAGGCGGCCUGAUAAGUAGGGGGUGAAAUCCUGCGGCUUAACCGCAGGGCUGCCUUCUAAACUGUCAGGCUAGAGCACAGUAGAGGCAGGUGGAAUUCCCGGUGUAGCGGUGGAAUGCGUAGAUAUCGGAAGGAACAUCAGUGGCGAAAGCGACUUCCUGGACCAAUACUGACGCUCAUGUGCGAAAAGCGUGGGGAGCAAACAGG
rnacentral:rRNA from 1 species